GGGCCUGUAGCUCAGUUGGUAGAGCGCCAGCUUUGCAAGCUGGAUGUCGCCGGUUCGAUUCCGUUCAGGUCCACCA
rnacentral:tRNA from 1 species